rnacentral:rRNA from 1 species
AAAAUUAGAGUGUUCAAAGCAGGCAGAUCCAAUUUUCUGCCACCGAAUACAUUAGCAUGGGAUAAUGGAAUAGGACCCUGUCCUCCUAUUUUCAGUUGGUUUUGGCAGCGCGAGGACUAGGGUAAUGAUUAAUAGGGAUAGUUGGGGGCAUUAAUAUUUAAUUGUCAGAGGUGAAAUUCUUGGAUUUAUGAAAGAUUAACUUCUGCGAAAGCAUCUGCCAAGGAUGUUUUCAUUAAUCAAGAACGAAAGUUAGGGGAUCGAAGACGAUCAGAUACCGUCGUAGUCUUAACCAUAAACGAUGCCGACCAGCGAUUAGGAGACGUUGAAUACAAAACACCACCAUCGGCGCGGUCGUCCUUGGCGUCGGUCCUUCACGGGGCCGGCGCGAGGGCGGCUAGCCCA